CUGAUAUUCACCAGGAGGACUGGAGAGGGCCCAGGCUGCAUUGGAAGACCCUGGCCCUUUUAGGCCUUUGAGUAACCACUCAUAGUAAGCACGAGGAAGAAUACCAUCCUUGAGGACAGAGACAGAUCUGUUUUGGUCUUCUUAUCUCCAGUGCCUACUAUGGGGAUUUGCACUUAAUAGGUGCUUCAUCAUCGCUGGAGAAUUGUGAAGAAGUCUGGAGAGUCAGAAGUGGAGCCUUUAGAGGAAUGAGGGAGUUUUCUAUUCUCUGAGUCCCCUUUAAAAAGAAAUAAAAAACAUAGAAAAUAUAAAUUGGCACAAUGAGAAGGGGACCGGAAUGAAUGUGUAAUGUUUUCCUUCCCUUGGAUCCAGAAUGCCAACAUUGUCUAGAGUAUGGAUCAGAUUUCCUCUACCAGCAUUUCAAAAACAUUAGUGAAUUUUCAUCUCGGGUAUCUGAGUUUGUUGUAGUGCUAAUGCAGUCCAAGUCAGGGGUUUGAACUUAGUUUUCUUUGUUCUUUCCUAGGGCCACAGAGUGAGCUAAAAAUCCUUAACAAGAUCAGGAAGCUAUAUACAGUCCAAGAAACAGGGACCUUGGUUAUCCCCUUCAGCGGUAGAACGGAUGUGGAGGUGAGAUUUCUAGAUAAGAGAAAUGACAGCUUUCUAGGAUGAGGAGUUCUAGAAGAAGGAAACAGAAUACGUUUAACCUGGAGUAGUUCAGGGCUGAUCUCAGUGAGGGCACCCAACAGUGAGAGCCGUGUAGGGACAGGUUUCUGAAUGGAGAUUCCCGGUGAGAAAAGUCUUACUUAAUUUUUGCAUUAAGGGUCUAAGGGGGGUGCACACAGUGAAAUAUACAAAUAAUAUCCAAUAAUAAUAAUAAUAGCGAGCAUUUAUAUGGUGCUUUAAGCUUCAAGAAGCACUUUCCUUACGUUAUGAUCAUACUAAACUUACUUGGGUAGUAAAAGAAAAAUUCAGAGGAAAUAAACUGCAGAAAGAGGCCAUUGGCAAAAAAAAAAAGUUGGGAAAUGUAUUUCAGUGUGGGCAUGUAUAAGGGAGCAAAUUUAGGAGAAAUACAGCCCAAACUACACUUCCACGUGUGUAUCCUACGUAAUCUGUAUACCUUUGCUGCUCCUUCCUCAGUGAAUUUAUUAUCCCAGGCUAGAAACUUGGAGUCACCUUUUACCUUGCCUUUCCCAGUUCUACCUACCUCCCUACCUACCCACCCAGGGGCUAUUCCAAACUUUCUGUUUAAGUCUCCAUCCUGAGCUGCACCCUCCUUCCCAACAGAUGACAUAACUCUCUGCUUUCUAAGAAAGGUGAUGGAAGACAUCCAGUAUGAGUUCCCUCAGUUUCACUUCUUCAGGCCAGUAUUUAUCCAUUCUUCCCUCCCUUUUUUUUUUCUUAUUUCAGAAUUCAGCUUGCCUUUGGGUGUGGAAACUUGGAUGGGGAGGGCCCUUGCUCCUGGAUGGAGCUAAUUAAGAACAAUUAAGCAAAGUAGAUAGAUUAGUAUUGAACUGUAUAAGCCUAGCAGUGAGUUCAGAAUUCAGAUACCACUAGGAAAAAAAUCAUAAGCUGGUAAAAACAGCAGGCUGCUAAGGCCACAAAAGCAAGCAUUUUCCUUUACUUCCUGUUUUUCCAAAGACUAAUCCUUGGGCCCCUGGGUUUGAAAAGAAAGCCAGUACCCCCCAAGAAGGGAGGGAAAAUGGAAAGGAAAAACCAACUGUUAGCUGUUAAGGAAACUCCAUCUACAUGAAGGCAGGAGGAAUGAGUUGUACAAGCAUCCUUCCCACUGCACCUUCCUCUGUUACCGUCAAGGGACAAUGCCUCGGAGUACUUAGUAAGUAUUUAAUAAAUAUUCAUUGAUUGAAAUACUUGCCAUUUGACCGUACCACCCAGUACUAAUCUGACCUGCUGGAAGCUCUCAAAUUUUUAUGAUUUUGGUAUUCAGUUCAUACUAUUUCUAAUUCUUUUACUGUCUUCAGAAUUUUUAAUACUCAUACCAAUGGUCCUGUCAGUAACAAGUUACAUUUAUAUAGCAUGUGAGGUUUAAUAAGCACUCUUGUCACAACAACCCUAUGAAGUAAGUAGUGCAGGUAUCAAUACACCCAUUUUACAGGUGAGGAAACAGGCUCAGAGAGGUGAAGUGGCUUUGGAGGGAUACGCACAUGCACACGUGCGCUCAUGGAUGAAUACAUUCCAAAGAGGGAUCCACUCUGUUCAACUUGGAGCUUUCUGACUCCUCAGUGCUUUUUUCCAUUAUAUCACACUACCUCUUGUCUCCACAAUUCCUUAAACUCUAGCCCUAAGAUUUCCAUCUUUUUUCGUUCAGUCACCCAGCGGAGUGGUCAUACUUCAGAGCUCUUCAUCCCUUAAGACUCUUUCACUUCCAAUAAGCUGAAUUCCAAAAUCACCUUUCUGACCUCCUAGCCUACCCAUUCCCUUACUCCAGUGGCAUGUUUUUAGUCCUCAUCCUCUGUGGUCUCUCUACAGUAGAUGACACUGUUCAUCACUUCUUUCUCUCUUGGCUUUCGUGACAUAGGAGAUAAUAUGCUCGAGUGAGUGGAAAGAACUCUGAACAGAAAGACUUCAUUUUUAGCUCCUGCUAAGCCACUAACUACUUGUUUGGCCUUGGGCAAAUCCCUUACCAUCUUUAGGUCUCUACAAAAUGAGGAGAUUAGAUUCCCUGCCAUCUCCACAUCAUGCCUUAUGCUCUCAGCCCAGGAUUCUCCUCUCCCACUAGAGCCUACAGCUCUGAUUUGUGGUUUUCACCUUCUCUCGCCGGGGUCUAGGACUUCAUUCCACUCAGCAUCUGUCUUUUCACUGGUCAGGGCCCAUCUCACCCCUAAUCCCCACCCCCCUUUUUAUCUUCCUCCAUUAGGAUGUAGGCUCCUUGAGGGCAGGGAUUGUCAUGUUUGCUUCUAUUUGUAUCUUCAGUGCUCAGCACCAUGCCUGGCACAUAGUAAGCACUUAAUCAACCUUUUAAAUCUGUUUUUAUUAGAUGAUCAUUCUAGCCAAACCACACUGCCUGCAUUGCAAUGAACUUGCCCUGAUGUUCCCUAACUCUUCACCUUUUCUUAUACUAUCCUUUAUGUCCAGAAGGGACUCUUAGAUCUUUACCUUUUAUAAUCCUUCCCAUCUCCCAAGGUCCAACUCAAUUGCCAACUUCUUUAUGAUGCUCCUAUGAAUUUCCCCAGCUAAAGGUAAUUUCUCUGGUCUGGAAUUUCCAGUAUUUUGUAUAGACCUCUUUUCACAUAUUUUCUCAUUUGUAUUAUAGUUAUUUGUGUUAAUUUAUGGCAUCCAGUCUGAUAUCAAUUUUUGUCAUUUGUACCUUCUGAGAUAACCUCUCAUGCAUUCUGCCCCUUACAUUCCCAGUCCCUUCUGGCUAGUGGAGCAGUGUAUAUACUGCUGGAAUGCAGGUCAGACCUGAGUUCCAAUCCUCCUCAUACACUUACUAGCUGUGUGGCUCUGUGCACACUUAGCAUAAGUUUCUUCAUCUGCAAAGUAAAGAUUAUAAUAGCACUUGCUUUAAAGGGUUAAUGUGAAGAUUAAAUGAGAUAAUAUUUGUAAAACCUUUUGUCCACUUAAAGUGUGAUAUAAAUGCUAGCUGUUCCAUGUCAGUAACCUAACUGGUUCUGUCUCUUCCUCACUGCAGUCCUCCUUGUGUGCCAACACAAGAUUAAAACCCUUCUUUCAUUAUGUAAUGCCCCUGCUCAAAAGCUCUUAUUAGCUCACUGCCCCUCCCCCUUGGCCCCCGUAAAGUCCAAGCGUGCUCCUUUGUAUCUAGCCCAAGUCUGCUCUCCCUGAUACUCCUCUGACUAAUCUCAAACUGGCCUUGUUACGGAACACUACAUGGCUUUUAUGCUCUCCCCCUUCCUACCUUUGCAGCCAUCCUUCAAGGCCCAGCCAAAGUCUUAGCACCUCCCUGAAGCCUCCUCCAAAUGCUACUGCCUACACUGAUCUCUCCUUCUCAACGGCUAUGUAAUGAGGUGUUGAACUGUUAUUUUCUGGUUAUUCCAAGUGUGCUAGUUAUGGCUCCCCAACAAGAUUAUAAGCUCUGGAGGGCAGGGAUAGUGUGGGAUUUAGGUUUCUUUGCAGAAUUAACCCUGCCAAGAAGGAAAGGGAAAAGAAACCUUAUUGGUACAAUGUAACAGUUAUAUGGCUCUUCCCAUCAGGUAUCACAUUCUCCCAGGAACAAAAAGAAUUUACAGGCAGCUUUAAGGGGAAUCCUGUUGUUUGUACCAAGAGGAGGAGACACAUAGUGGUAGUUGGUGCAAAGAUAAACCCUGCGUAGGGGGUAUUGAGCUAACAAGGCUUAAUGGGAGGUGUGCCACCUUCACCUUCCUGGAGCAUGUAGUGCAAUGAGAGAGCUAGAAAAGACUUAUAAAAUCUGCUAAACAUUAUCCCUUUUUGCCGAUUCACCUGGGAAAGAAAAAUAGAGCCAGAAUGAGAAGGAAUAUUUCUCAGUUGGUAUUGAAGUCCUGGGUAGGAAACAAAACACUUGAAGGCACAGGUGGCAUUUUCAUUCCUUCUUCCGGUUGAAGUUAAUGAGUUUGGGAAAAGAAGUGAACAGCCAGAUACCUUGAUCUUAGUAAAGUUAUGUUUGGGCAGAGACCCACUGACCUGAUUCACUGAAGAGGACCGAGAUGACAUCACUAUGUUGGGGUCAAGAUACAGCGUGUCUGACUGUGGCUGAUCAGACCAAUAAAAGGCUCUACUGCAGUUAGGACACAGGUAGUCCUUAUGAACAUUUAGAGUGGAAUAUGCGUGCACGCGUGUGUGUAUAUUCAUAUUCUCUAACAUGCCUUCCAUCUACCAUCCCUUACCGAAAUCUGCUUGUUCUUCCCCCGACUCCAGCCCCGCAACCUCCUAUUACACUGCAUUUCUAGCCAUCUUAUCCAACGCUGGUAGUAACUUCUCUCAUACUUCCUGACAUACCGGUCCUAGAGGGGGAGUCAUGAUAUUCUUCGAACCCCCAAUUCCUUAGCCUUCUUAAAUCCCAUGAUCUGCGCCAUUAUUCCACUUCAGCCACUCGUAACGAUGGUCGCACACCAGAUUGGCAUUCCCAUAUCUGGCCAUAACUUCCUGUUAUCUCACUUCUCCCUAUGCCUCCGCACUCCUAAAUCUAUUCGCUCUCAUAGAAAUCUCCAGCUUCUCCACCUCUCAGUCCUGAGUGCAGGUUAGAACAAGCCUGACAUUCCCCUCCUCAUCUUUUAUGAAAUGCAAAAUGAAACAUUCACCUUUGAAGCUUCUCCUGCACUGAGCACUGAGCACAUAGUAAAUGCUUCCCAACUUGACUUCCCCUCCCUUCCAUUCCAGCACCUACUUCCUGUGCAGUGGUUAGAACAAGAUUUGCAAUAUCAAUUCCUCAUGGAACAAAAAGAAAUCUGUACCCCCAAAUAGUUUAGUACCUACAGAACCCAUCCAUGCUUUAGUAGAUGGUUUCAUGAGUUGAUAAAAAAAUCAUAAACUGGUAUCCAAUCUUUGAGUGAUGAUUCUCAGAGGACAAACUCUCGGGUGUGCAUGUGAACCCUUUCUAAAUCAGUAGUACAUACCUACAAAAGCUUGUGCCCCAAGAUGCAACCUUUAAGAAUCCAGUAUCACCUCUAUUCCAGUAGGAGGCAUCAGGAGAUGACUUCAGGGAUACGUGUGGACUGCUAGUAGAUAAUGUUAUUAAUAAUAAUAGAGUCUCAGAAUUGGAAGAGAUCUCAGAGUUCAUUUAGUCCAACCUAUAACUGAGAGAAAGCCUCUUUUACAUCUCUGACAAGUGAUCAUCCAGUCUCCUCUUGAAAACCUUACGUUUGCUUUCUGUAAGAAAGUGUGGUUUAGUAGAAAGAGUAUGGGGAUUCUAAAGCAGAGGGCCUUAAUUUGGAUUCCUACUAUUCUGCAAUUAUUAGCUGUGUAACUCUGGUUCAGUGAACCUCUCAGAGCUUUGGUUUCUCAUCACAAAGCUGUGUGAAGCUCAAGUGUGAUAAAAGCAAUUUAUAAAUUAUUAAAAGCUAUACAAAUGUGA